AAUGAACGCUGGCGGCAGGCUUAACACAUGCAAGUCGAACGAGAAGCCAUCUUCGGAUGGUGGAAAGUGGCGAACGGGUGAGUAACACGUGGGAAUGUACCUUUUAGUCUGGGACAACAGUUGGAAACGACUGCUAAUACCGGAUGCGCUCUACGGAGGAAAGAUUUAUCGCUAAAAGAUCAGCCCGCGUUAGAUUAGUUUGUUGGUGAGGUAAUGGCUCACCAAGGCUACGAUCUAUAGCUGGUCUGAGAGGACGAUCAGCCACACUGGGACUGAGAUACGGCCCAG
rnacentral:rRNA from 1 species